UACGUAGGUGGCAAGCGCUGUCCGGAUUUACUGGGCGUAAAGCGCCCGCAGGCGGCUUGGCAAGUUUGGGGUGAAAUCUCCCGGCUCAACUGGGAGGGUGCCUCGAAAACUGCCAGGCUUGAGGCAUGGAGAGGGAUGCGGAAUUCCCGGUGUAGUGGUGAAAUGCGUAGAUAUCGGGAGGAACACCAGUGGCGAAGGCGGCAUCCUGGCCAUGUCCUGACGCUCAGGGGCGAAAGCGUGGGGAGCAAACCGG
rnacentral:rRNA from 1 species